rnacentral:rRNA from 1 species
CGUAGGGUGCGAGCGUUAAUCGGAAUUACUGGGCGUAAAGCGUGCGCAGGCGGUUUUGUAAGACAGGCGUGGAAUCCCCGGGCUCAACCUGGGAACUGCGCUUGUGACUGCAAGGCUAGAGUACGGCAGAGGGGGUGGAAUUCCACGUGUAGCAGUGAAAUGCGUAGAGAUGUGGAGGAACACCAAUGGCGAAGGCAGCCCCCUGGGUCGAUACUGACGCUCAUGCACGAAAGCGUGGGUAGCAAACAGGAUUAGAUACCCUGGUAGUCCACGCCCUAAACGAUGUCAACUAGGUGUUGGGUGGGUAAAACCAUUUAGUACCGGAGCUAACGCGUGAGGUUGACCGCCUGGGGAGUACGGCCGCAAGGUUA